UUUUGUUGGAAGCUUUAAAUUGUGUUUUUUUUUUAAAUUCAUUUUGAUUUUACUUGCACACAACGUGCUCGGUAAAAUGUUUCAACUAGAAUCAUGGUUAAUUUGAUGCAUUUCUAAUUAGAAGGAUAUAUAAUAGUAAAAUUAAUGCACUGAUAUGAAAAUUGUAAAAAUUGAUUUUUGAAUAUACGGUGCUAAACUGCUAAUUAUUAAUGGUACAAUGGAGUGGUUUAACAUGUUUAUCAAAAGUGCUUCCUUAGAGACCAGCAUACCCACUUAAUGUGAAUAGAGAUCAUGCAUGCACUUGUAACCCUUCAAUUCAUUUUAUUAGUCUUAAUAAUUAUAAUAUAAGUAUAAAAUAAAAUGUCCUUCAUCUGAUUAGUCUUGAUUAUAACAUCUAGUGGUUAAAUUCCGAAUUUAUCCUUGAUGAUCUUAUAUCAUUGAUCUACCAAUUAAGUUGAAAUUAAUGUUGAAUAGAAUCUAACUUAAAAUCGACCAAACUUUGACAAUAACCUAACAUUAAGAAAUCAAGGUACUACCACGAUCUUUUAUAAGUCUGCAGGUAAUUCAAUUCAACUCUUUUUGCUCUGUUUACUUAUGCAUCUCUGAGAAUGUUUAAUGAGUAAAAUAUAGUCCAAGGUCCAAUUAGGAUAGUUUAUUAGUAAUUGAUUUACUAUAAAUAAAUAUAGUAGAAAUGUAAUGGAAAAAGCAUGAAUUGAGUAAUGAAUAUAUUUUCUUUUUCUGAAAUUCCUUCUAUGGAAUUAUCUGUUUCCCUCUUGAUUCACACACACACACACACAUACAUACACAUACACACAUACACAUUAACUCAAUCACAUAAAAAAGAAAGGCGGAAAGCUGGUCAUAGUGCCACAUGAAAAGGGAAAACAAAAACAUUUCAGACAAAAGCAGGGCCUAUUUUGGUUGCCAUAAAUCCCUUCAAGAAAGUUCUUCUAUAUCGUAAUGAUUAUAUUGAAGCCUACAAGCGUAAAAGAAUUGAAAGCUCUCAUGUAUAUGCCAUUACUGACACAGCCAUUCAAGAAAUGAUAUGGGAUGAAGUAAAUCAAUCUAUAAUUAUAAGUUGUGAGAGUGGAGCAGGGAAGACUAAGAUAGCAAAGAUAGCAAUGCAGUACUUGGCUGCCCUUGGUGGUGGAAGUGGAAUAGAGUAUGAGAUAUUGAAGACUAAUCCAAUACUAGAAGCCUUUGGUAAUGGAAAAACAUUGAAAAAUGGCACAGGGGAACCUCAUUGAGAUUCACUUCAGUGAAACUAGAAAAAUAUGUGGUGCUAAUAUCCAAACAUUUCUUUUGAAAAAGGUAACGAUGCAUCCUUCUGAGCUAGUUAUUCUUCUCAAUUUCUGUUCAUACUACAUUAAGACACCUUAACUUUAUUUGAUAUUUGAACAGUCUAGAGUUGUCCAAUGCAAUGAAAGUGAAAGGUCCUAUCAUAAAAGGAAAGACUUGCAAAGGGAUAUGGGUGAGGGUGCUUUAGCAUAUGUAAAAAGCAUCGAGAUUAUGUUCAAGGUCAUUGACGUCGCCGUUAGAAACUGCUGAUGUGGACUGUGACUUGGCUGCCCACCCCAACCAAACGACGCCGUUUGGUCACUCCAGCGUGUCGUAAUGAAACGCUUGCGUUUUGAGGGGACAGUGAAACGUUUUUCACUGUGUCUUUGGUCUCUAACCUCAGUUGUUCUUCAUCAUACUAAGCUUGAGUCUCUGUUUCUCUGCCCCCUAAGCAAGCAAGAGGAAGACGAAGAAGACUGCCCCAUUGAACGCAACCGUUGGAGUAGGCGUGGAGCAUUGUUGGUGCGUCUGCUCUGGAGCCUGGUGGGAAACCUGAAGGCAAGAACAGAGCGUUGUUUCUGCGUUCGAAGCAAGAGGUAAACUUUUUUGGAUGUUGCCAAAACCCUCUGAUAAAACUGUGUAAAACCAUACUUUCCACAUUAUUUGAUUGAGUGAUCGUUAACAAUCUGUUAGUGAAUAGGGUGUAGGGUUUCAUUCCAGGGUUGGGUUUAUGAACGGGUGAAUGCGUAAAUUAGGAAAGACUCUGUAUUUUUGGCUUAGAAAAAGUGUUAACUAUGGCUUGUGUUAAUGGAGUAAUGGUUAGUGGUUUAGGGUCUGUGUUGGUGAUGAUUUAGUGUUUUUCAUGUUCCUUUUUAAUUUUUGUAUAGGGUUUGGAGGCCUUGCACUUCUAAGAUGGAGGGUCCUCCGAUGAUGUUCAUUUUUCAUCAUGGUGGAAGCUUUAAAAAUGAUGAGAAAGGAAGUAGAAUCUACGAACCAGAUAAUACGAAAGUGUUGGUGGGGGUGGAUGGGGAUACGUUGGAUGUGUUUUUUGUUACAGGAUACUAUAAGGAACUGGGAUAUGCUGGGGGGUUUAUGUUGGUGGAAGGUUCCUUGGCUGUCGCUUGAGAAAGGGCUGAGGAAGUUAGAGACUGAUAAAGACUUGCUGAAACUGUGUAAGACCUGUAGGAGGAAUCACAAUGUGAUGAACAUAUAUUUUGAACAUGGAGUUUCAGAGCCACACGUGGUGGAAUGCAUGAGUGAGGAAGAUGAUGUCAUUCUGCCAACCAAUGCACCCUUGUUGAAGCUGCCCAGCACACAGCCUGCAAUGCAAGCAAGGAAAAUUGCAUACCAGCCAACACUGAGCCACUCACAGAGGGAUUCAACAAAGCCUCUGCAUCCCACUCCCAAAAAUAAAGACAAAGCCACUCCCAACUCUGCUGGACCCAAUCCUCACCACAAGAACAUGGAAUGAAGAGAAAAUAUAACCCCAUCCGAUGCAUGUUCUGUAGUGAGGUUGGACACAACAAGAGAACAUGCCAGAAGAAGAAACAGGCUGAUGCUGAAGAAGAAGCACGUUUAAUGCAGCUGCAACUGGCUUUAACUAACCCUAAUACAGAUGUACCAAACGAGCUCCCUUCUGAUGUACCAAACGAGCUCCCAACUGAUGCUGAUAGUGCAACGCUACAUAAUCCUCUCCCUUUGUCUGUUUCCCCACCACCAAAGCAGUCAAAUGCAGCCACUGAAACAACACCGGCUUGCUUUACUGCUUUAACUUCAAUUUCAUUUCACUAUAGUUGUUUAGUUUCUCAGUUUGGUGUUUACUAUGUCAUGCAGGCUAAAAUGAGGGAAAGACCACCAAAGCUUCAAGUUUGUAAGGGAAAAGGGAAAAGAGCUGCCUCUCCCCACCCUGCUCCACCAACAGCAACAGCUCCAAUUUCUGCUGGAACAAUCAGAGGAUCUAGUGCUGCGACAACCAAAAAGCUUGCAAGUUUUAUGACCUUCGUCCCGACUCCAGGGUUCAAACGGCCUAGGAAGAAAGACGACGGCAUCUGAAGCACAUCCAUCUAAACAUAUGCAACCUUUUUUUUUUGUUCUAGGCUCUAGACUAAGAAAGACAUGUUUAUGUUUCUGUUAAACAAUAUCUAGAAUCAAUGUUUUGUAAUGACUCUAUUUUGGGUGCAUGUUAUGCCUUGGUAUGAAGUGUUUCUGUUGAAUCAUUUUUAGGCAUUCUACUACCUUUUGUUAUGACAUUUUAUAUUAAGAAA